rnacentral:rRNA from 1 species
AUUGAACGCUGGCGGCAGGCCUAACACAUGCAAGUCGAACGAGUGGCGGACGGGUGAGUAAUGUCUGGGAAACUGCCCGAUGGAGGGGGAUAACUACUGGAAACGGUAGCUAAUACCGCAUACCAUCGGAUGUGCCCAGAUGGGAUUAGCUAGUAGGUGGGGUAACGGCUGACCUAGGCGACGAUCCCUAGCUGGUCUGAGAGGAUGACCAGCAACACUGGACAUGAUACACGUUCCAGACUCCGACGGGAGGCAGCAGGGGGGAAUAUGGAACAAGGGGUGCAAGCUUGAUGCAGCCAGGCCGCGUGUAUGAAGAAGGCCUUCGGAUUGUAAAGUACUUUAAGCGAGGAGGCGUUACUCGCAGAAGAGGCACAGGCUAACUCCGUGCCAGCAGCCGCGGUAAUAC